AGUGAACGCUGGCGGUAGGCCUAACACAUGCAAGUCGAACGGCAGCACAGUAAGAGCUUGCUCUUACGGGUGGCGAGUGGCGGACGGGUGAGGAAUACAUCGGAAUCUACUUUUUCGUGGGGGAUAACGUAGGGAAACUUACGCUAAUACCGCAUACGACCUACGGGUGAAAGCAGGGGAUCUUCGGACCUUGCGCGAUUGAAUGAGCCGAUGUCGGAUUAGCUAGUUGGCGGGGUAAAGGCCCACCAAGGCGACGAUCCGUAGCCGGUCUGAGAGGAUGAUCAGCCACACUGGAACUGAGACACGGUCCAGACUCCUACGGGAGGCAGCAGUGGGGAAUAUUGGACAAUGGGCGCAAGCCUGAUCCAGCCAUACCGCGUGGGUGAAGAAGGCCUUCGGGUUGUAAAGCCCUUUUGUUGGGAAAGAAAAGCAGCAGGUUAAUACCCCGCCGUUCUGACGGUACCCAAAGAAUAAGCACCGGCUAACUUCGUG
rnacentral:rRNA from 1 species